CACCGGCAGCUCUAGUGGUAGCAGUUUUUAUUGGGCCUAAAGCGUCCGUAGCCGGUUUAAUAAGUCUCUGGUGAAAUCCUGCAGCUUAACUGUGGGAAUUGCUGGAGAUACUAUUAGACUUGAGAUCGGGAGAGGUUAGAGGUACUCCCAGGGUAGAGGUGAAAUUCUGUAAUCCUGGGAGGACCGCCUGUUGCGAAGGCGUCUGACUGGAACGAUUCUGACGGUGAGGGACGAAAGCUAGGGGCGCGAACCGG
rnacentral:rRNA from 3 species